UACGUAGGGUGCGAGCGUUGUCCGGAUUUAUUGGGCGUAAAGAGCUCGUAGGCGGCUUGUCGCGUCGGAUGUGAAAGCCCGGGGCUUAACUCCGGGUCUGCAUUCGAUACGGGCAGGCUAGAGUGUGGUAGGGGAGAUCGAAUUCCUGGUGUAGCGGUGAAAUGCGCAGAUAUCAGGAGGAACACCGGUGGCGAAGGCGGAUCUCUGGGCCGAUAUUGACGCUGAGGAGCGAAAGCGUGGGGAGCGAACAGG
rnacentral:rRNA from 1 species